rnacentral:snoRNA from 1 species
UUCUUUUUUGGGUUUAUAGGCAUGAUGAUUGGGUAUUCAUGCCUUUGCAUGAUAUGUGCCUCUCAUGACUUUGUUGCAACCUAGGCAUAUGACUUUUGUCUGACA